GGCUUUCACUCCAUGCAGCGAUUGGGGUUGUGAAAGACUGACUGAAAAGCCUAGGCUACGUGAAAACUAGAGAUGCACCAGAUCCUGAUUUUUAGAACACCCACCGUUGACAGAACAGAAAAUGGACAACAUGAGUGCUCGAGAGAGAAGAAUGGGGAUGCUGCUGUAUUGGAGUCAUGUUCAAUAAUGGCUUUCACAACAACAAAAGAGCCCACUGCAGGAGUCCUGGGAUACUCAAGGUUGUCCCAAUGACAAUGUCAAAAAAGCAACAAGCAACAGCAGACAUUGCCGUCCCUCUGGACAUCUUGAAGACGUAGAACUAAAUAGCAUAGUUAUGGAGUUACAGAUACAAGCCCCAGAAACUGAUUAGGAUGCCCUUAAGACUUUGUUCAUUGAAGUUGAUUGAUGAUUAUGGAUUAGUGAAAUGUCGAUUUGAAAUGUAUCAAAAGAUUAUGACGAAUGCCGGUUCAGUGAUGUUUGUCUUUUUGACCUUUCUCUCUUUUAAUGUUUGAUUUUAUUUUUUGUCAGUAUGUUUAUAUUCUGUAUAAAAUCAUAUAGGUUAA